ensembl:lncRNA ST6GAL2-IT1 ST6GAL2 intronic transcript 1
AGUUGCCGGAGGUUGUGAGAAUUUGCAUUUGGAACAAGUUCUCAAGUGAUACUGACACUGUUGGUCCUGGGGCCACGCUUUGAGAACCAUUCUUUCAGCUUUUUGGAAUCUUAAGAACUUUAGAAGUCUAGUCCACAGGCUCCGUACUGAUGGAGGUACCAGCAAGGGCUUCCUUUUCCACUUCAAGAGAAAGAACAAUAAGUUUCAAAAUUUGAAGAACACAUUGACCUAGCAUUGAAGAAAGCAAACUCUAAGAACCUCUUCACCAAAAGUAUUUUAUUGUUGGAAAAACACCUGAUUUCAGAAGUUUGCAAUUUACGUACAUAGAAAGUUUAUCAAAGAUAACAAUGAUUCUGUUUUCCUUACAAUAAAUGAAUUCUAAAACAUG